UACGUAGGGGGCAAGCGUUGUCCGGGAAUCAUUGGGCGUAAAGAGCGUGUAGGCGGCCCGGUAAGUCCGUUGUGAAAGUCCAGGCUCAACCCUGGAAUGCCGAUGGAUACUGCCGGGCUAGAGUUCGGAAGAGGCGAGUGGAAUUCCUGGUGUAGCGGUGGAAUGCGCAGAUUAUCAGGAGGAACAACCUAUAGCGAAGGCAGCUCGCUGGGACGACACUGACGCUGAGACGCGAAAGCGUGGGGAGCGAACAGG
rnacentral:rRNA from 1 species